rnacentral:rRNA from 1 species
AUAAUGGGUCAGCGACUUAUAUUCUGUAGCAAGGUUAACCGAAUAGGGGAGCCGAAGGGAAACCGAGUCUUAACUGGGCGUUAAGUUGCAGGGUAUAGACCCGAAACCCGGUGAUCUAGCCAUGGGCAGGUUGAAGGUUGGGUAACACUAACUGGAGGACCGAACCGACUAAUGUUGAAAAAUUAGCGGAUGACUUGUGGCUGGGGGUGAAAGGCCAAUCAAACCGGGAGAUAGCUGGUUCUCCCCGAAAGCUAUUUAGGUAGCGCCUCGUGAAUUCAUCUCCGGGGGUAGAGCACUGUUUCGGCAAGGGGGUCAUCCCGACUUACCAACCCGAUGCAAACUGCGAAUACCGGAGAAUGUUAUCACGGGAGACACACGGCGGGUGCUAACGUCCGUCGUGAAGAGGGAAACAACCCAGACCGCCAGCUAAGGUCCCAAAGUCAUGGUUAAGUGGGAAACGAUGUGGGAAGGCCCAGACAGCCAGGAUGUUGGCUUAGAAGCAGCCAUCAUUUAAAGAAAGCGUAAUAGCUCACUGGUCGAGUCGGCCUGCGCGGAAGAUGUAACGGGGCUAAACCAUGCACCGAAGCUGCGGCAGCGACGCUUAUGCGUUGUUGGGUAGGGGAGCGUUCUGUAAGCCUGUGAAGGUGUGCUGUGAGGCAUGCUGGAGGUAUCAGAAGUGCGAAUGCUGACAUAAGUAACGAUAAAGCGGGUGAAAAGCCCGCUCGCCGGAAG